rnacentral:tRNA from 1 species
GAGGGUAUAGCUCAAGUGGUAGAGCACAUGCUUAGCACUCACAAGGUCCUGAGUUCAAUCCCCAGUACCUCCU